GCACCAUAGCAUGGUGUGAAGAUAGACCCAUGAGAUACGUGCCAGCUGCUUCAACAAGUGUGAGAGACAGGGUUUUUACCAAAUAUAUUUCAAGUGUUGCCUUAUCGGCCAUUGGAAUUCAGAGCCUUCUUUUCUUAUUACAAUGCCAUCUGCAACAAAGAAACAGGCCAGCUCAGCAGAGCUGACAAAGAACUCAUCAUUGUGAAGACCAGCCUAGCCAAUAGGUGUCCAUACAGCGUGGCUGUCCACAGUGCUCGGUACAGGGUCUUCUUAAAGAACCCAGUGCUCUCUGACCAGGUCUGUGUGAACUGGAGAAAGUCUGACCUCCCUGCCCGGGAAAAGGCGAUGCUGGAGUUUGCACUUGCUGUUUCCUGAGCUGAUGAAAUAACAGAUGAUCAUUCCAAAAAGCUCACGAUGCAUGGCUUCAACCAGAAGAUGCCUGGGAUAUAGCUGCAAUUUCAGCUUUUUAUGCCAUGUCAAACUGUCUUGCUCAGUUUGUCAAUCUUGUUCCCCCAAAAAGAAUUCUAUUUGAUGGGUAGAACCAAUAAUGUCAGAGACAUAAGGAGUGAACCUGCUGCUCCCAAAGUAUAAAAGCCUGGACAGAAAGGCCCGUGUUUACAUUCAGGACCAUUGCAUUAUAAGAUAUCAGUUGGGAGUUAAAUUUAAAAAUGUUUAGUCAAUGGAUAGGGAAAAAAGUAAAUAAAUUUAUUCCCUGCUUGCUUGAUGAGAUAGAUCCUAAGGGACAUGCAUGUGAUACUUGGGCCUAGGGGAAACCUUUGCCAAUAUUUCACUCUUGCUGUGAUCUGGAAGGAGCAUCAGGGGGCAAAGGAGUUCAGAGAAUGCUUUGGGCAUUUCUGAUGAACUGAUAUCUGUGAAUUUCAGCAACUGAGGUUGAAAAUUUUUUAGCUUUCAAAAAUAAUGUUUCAUAAAUAUUGGUCUAUAUAGACUGGUUUGAAAUCAAUUCCUUGUUAACAUGGUUGUACUUAAAGGCUCUCACAGGCAGUGGGUAAAUAGAAGCAGGUGCAAAGUUGUUCUAUCUUUAAUGCCUUUUUCGUUAACCUCCAGUGAUUUUUUUUUAACUGAAGGGUUCUAUCAUAGUCAUCUCAAUAGAAUCUUAGUCCUUAUUCAGUUUAUUCUUAUUUUAGGUUUUAGUAAAAAUAUUUGGAACAAGAGAGCACGCACAUUUUAAGUAGAAGCAUAAGAAAAAAAAACCCCUGACAUUACUAAAUGACUUGUUCUGUGUGUGACAACCACCACUGCCUGAAGUUUGUGGCUAUCUUAACUUUUCAAGAAUCAUUUUCAUUAUCUAACUGAUAGAGGUACUUGCAAACCUACAAAAUGUUUUGGCUCCCACUUAGCUUCUUU